ensembl:lncRNA
GGGUCCUCGAGUCCCUUGGCAAAUCUUCAUGUCCGUGUCGUUGUAGGAUUUGCAACAGCUCAUUUACUGACUUAUGGAUUCAAGCCACACAGCCUCUCUGUCACAUCCCUCGUCAUCACUGCCACUAGCCGUAUCAAUGUUGCUGAUGUCCUCAUCAUCGUGAGUGGACUCUAACUCCAUUGAGUUCUCUUCAUCCUCAGUAGCCCACUGCUUUAUGGUUGACUCAACCCUUCUCCAGUUCCUGAGGUAGAGCGAAUCCAUGGUUUUUAGACCACAAACUGAAACAAGAAACAAAUCAUACAAUGUAGUAUUGUGUUUUUGAGGUUUGCAUGCUUUGGUCAUGUCCAGUAAGAUGCAUUGCAGCAUGGGAAAUUACUAAAAAGAAUCUCCGGUAAAGUAGUAGGGUCACUGAUUUCACAAAUUCCAGAUGAUGUUUUGGAUCACCAACAAAAUGUCUGAAAAAUUAUAUUUCCUAAUGUUUGACUAG